GACGAACGCUGGCGGCGUGCUUAACACAUGCAAGUCGAACGGCAAGGCCCUGCUUUUGUGGUGUGCUCGAGUGGCGAACGGGUGAGUAACACGUGAGUAACCUGCCCUUGACUUUGGGAUAACUUCAGGAAACUGGGGCUAAUACCGGAUAGGAGCUCCUGCUGCAUGGUGGGGGUUGGAAAGUUUCGGCGGUUGGGGAUGGACUCGCGGCUUAUCAGCUUGUUGGUGGGGUAGUGGCUUACCAAGGCUUUGACGGGUAGCCGGCCUGAGAGGGUGACCGGCCACAUGGGGACUGAGAGACGGCCCAGACGCCAACGGGAGGCAGCAGUGGGGAAUAUUGCACAAUGGGCGGAAGCCUGAUGCAGCAACGCCGGGUGCGGGAUGACGGCCUUCGGGUUGUAAACCGCUUUCGCCUGUGACGAAGCGUGAGUGACGGUAAUGGGUAAAGAAGCACCGGCUAACUACGUG
rnacentral:rRNA from 1 species